rnacentral:ncRNA from 1 species
GGGCAAAGCAAUCGUGAGGUUGUGACGCAAAGCUAUAGGGCCUAAGACUCUUAGGUAGCCAGUUGCA